rfam:Dipodomys ordii contig_32810, whole genome shotgun sequence.
GGUGGCUCAGUGGUAGAGCGCUUGUCUUGCAUGCAUGAGGCCCUGGGUUCCAUUCCUCAGCACCA